rnacentral:misc_RNA from 1 species
GGGUUUUCCCACUUUGGGGCCCACAUCUCCCACCCGUGUCUACAAAUACCGCGUUGCUUUGGUGGAUCCACUUAGGGAGUUUUCCCUCCCUGGUGGAGCCGCCGGAGAUCCUCCCGAACUCUGGAUGAAAAGGUUGCAGUCUGAGUGAUCAAUAAUAAUCGUUAAAAACUUUCAACAACGGAUCUCUUGGUUCCGGCAUCGAUGAAGAACGCAGCGAAAUGCGAUAAGUAAUGUGAAUUGCAGAAUUCCGUGAAUCAUCGAAUCUUUGAACGCACAUUGCGCCCUCUGGCAUUCCGGGGGGCAUGCCUGUCCGAGCGUCAUUUCUACCCUCAAGCCCGGCUUGUGUGUUGGGUGCUGUCCCCUAGGGGGACAUGCCCGAAAGACAGCGGCGGCACUGUCCGGUCCUCGAGUGUAUGGGGCUCUGUCACCCACUUGGAGGGACUGGCCGGCGCCUGUCCACCCCAACCAUCUCUUUUAGGUUGACCUC